rnacentral:rRNA from 1 species
UACAGAGGUCUCGAGCGUUAGGCGGAAUCACUGGGCUUAAAGCGUGUGUAGGCGGCGGGCUAAGUACCUUGUGAAAUCCCACGGCUUAACUGUGGAACUGCGUUGGAAACUGUCGGGCUGGAGGCUGGGAGAGGGCAGCGGAAUUCCCGGUGUAGCGGUGAAAUGCGUAGAGAUCGGGAGGAACACCGGCGGCGAAGGCGGCUGCCUGGACCAGUCCUGACGCUGAGGCGGCGAAAGCUAGGGGAGCAAACAGG